rnacentral:lncRNA from 1 species
CUCAACAAGGCUCUGAAAACUGCCCUCGCUGCGCCCCAGCGGCCGGGAGGGGGCGCCCGAACUCGCCAUAACGCACUAACGACAGCGCCCACCCCGCGCGACCCGCCUCCAGUGACGCGAACUGGAGCGCCUGAUCAACCCGGAGAUCCCGGGAGCCCGGGCGAGGCGCCGCCGGGGCUUAGGGAGCGCGUGGGGCCGUGGGAACCGAUCAAAGUUUUCAUCAAGUUCUUCUGUAUGUAUUGAGACUGAAAAGUGACCGAAACUUUUCAUUAUAAAAGCUUCAGUAUCUCAGCCAUCAUGCCACUCUGCCCUUCAGUGGUGUUAACCCAGAUCAUAUGGAUGGAGAGGGAUGUGGAAAGUCUUUAGAAUCUUUGGUCACCUAGGCUUCAGUGGGUUGAGUAGUGUGUGUCCAAGGUAAGCCCAGAAAAAUUGAACUCUUGUCAUAAAUUGCAGAACCACCUGUGGUGCAUGUGCUUUAUGUGUCCUAAAGAAGAUAUCCCAUGACUGUAUAAAGCAUAUAACUAACUAUCCCAGCUGGUGCAUGCUAAGUCACUUCAGUCAUGUCUGACUCUGCAACCCUAUGGGCUGUAGCCUGUCAGGCUCCUCUGUCCAUGGGAUUCUCAAGGCAAGAAUAGU